UAAGGAAUAUUGCUCAAUGGGAGAAAUCCUGAAGCAGCAACGCCGCGUGGAGGAUGAAGGGCUUUCAGCUUAUAAACUCCUGUAAAGAAGGAAAAAAUUCCCAUUAGAUGGGAAAUGAUGGUACUUCUACAGUAAGCCCCGGCUACCUACGUGCCAGCAGCCGCGGUAAUACGUAGGGGGCAAGCGUUGUCCGGAUUUACUGGGUGUAAAGGGUGCUCAGGCGGAUUUGUAAGUCAGAGGUGAAAUCUCACAGCUUAACUGUGAAACUGCCUUUGAUACAGCAAGGCUAGAGUAUGGAAGAGAGUGAUGGAAUGUCUGGUGUAGCAGUGAAAUGCGUAGAUAUCAGAUAGAACACCAAUGGCGAAGGCAGUCACUUGGUCCAUUACUGACGCUAAAGCACGAAAGCGUGGGUAGCAAACA
rnacentral:rRNA from 1 species